rnacentral:lncRNA from 1 species
GCGCGGGGCUAGGCAGCGAUUGGCUGCCGGGCGUUGUCAGUCGCCGAGGCCAGAGCCAUCGCCGGGGAAGCGCAGCCGGGCUCGGGUGCUCCGGCUGCCGCCGCGGCUGCACGACUGGUGCAGCUGAGCGAGCUCGCGCGGGCUCCUCCGCCGCCGCCUCCGCUGCUGCCCACCCCGCCGCGCCGCCGUAGCCGCCGGUCUUGCAGGAGGCCGCCGGGGAGGGGCGGCCGAGAGAGCUGAGCACGAGGAGGCGGAGGCGGCGGAGAAGUGAUGCUGGCGCCGGGGAUCCGGGCAAAAGCAGCGGAGCAGCAGCAUCUUCGGGACCCUGGCUGCAGCGUCCCUGUGGCCCGUGGGCCAGUCCAGCGGCCAGAGACCACGCGCCGGGCGGGUCAGUUAGAGACACUUCAAGAAUUGCUCAAUCCAGGAGUGAAAGGGUUCUGUGAACACAUGGACUCUUUACCUUGAGAGGAGUGCAGAAGAUUUCUUCAGAAGGGUUUUGCACCCCUGAGGACUCCAGGUGUAGAAGGGACACUCUGCUACCCCAACUUCCAGGAAACAGGCUACAGUCAUGCUGAAAGGAAAGAGCCUCCUGCCACUUGUGGAGGAAUGGACUGAACAAGAAGCUAGAAACUGACCCAGUAA